CCUACGUGGGACAGCAGUGAGGAAUAUUGGUCAAUGGACGGAAGUCUGAACCAGCCAUGCCGCGUGCAGGAAGACGGCUCUAUGAGUUGUAAACUGCUUUUGUACAAGGGUAAACCUGAAUACGUGUAUUCAGCUGAAAGUACUGUACGAAUAAGGAUCGGCUAACUCCGUGCCAGCCGCCGCGGUAAUACGGAGGAUCCUAGCGUUAACCGGAUUUAUUGGGUUUAAAGGGUGCGUAGGCGGAUUGGUAAGUUAGGUGUGAAAUGUCCUGGCUUAACUCGGGAACUGCCUCUAAUACUGUUGAUCUAGAGAGUAGGUGCGGUAGGCGGAAUGUAUGGUGUAGCGGUGAAAUGCUUAGAGAUCAUACAGAACACCGAUUGCGAAGGCAGCUUACCAAUCUAUAUCUGACGUUGAGGCACGAAAGCGUGGGGAGCAAACAGGAUUAGAUACCCUUGUAGUC
rnacentral:rRNA from 1 species